ACGACACAUUUCUCGAUCAUUCUUUCGCCACACCUAGAAGGGAGGAAGGUAUUCCCGGCCGACACGGCGACCAGCCACGGUGUUUUGCGUCAUGUUUUGCCUCCACGCCUUGUCCCGCAAGUACUUCUUGGGAUGAGUAGACGUUUAUAAUACUGUCGCGAUCCUAAUAUUGCAAGAUAAACAUUUGUGUAACAGCUGAAGAUCCUUGGUGAGAGGCUGCUAACAUGAGUGCUACCUGCUGUACCUUACCCACGGGCCUGAAUCAGACAAGUAAUUGUCUAGAUCACUCACAUCACCAGGAAUCCAGAUCAUGAUUCUAAAUAGAACACAACCCAUGCAACCAGAUGUCUUCGAGAUGGUUCACAACCUCCAAAUGAUGGACCACCUAGAUGUCACUUCAAGGACACUACAGAAUAUUAAAAAUAGCAGUGAAAGGUGUUACAGUCUGACAUGUGCCCUGGAAGAUGUACAGAAGGAUGUCAAGACCAGAGACUUGAGGAUACCUCCUUAAGCUGCUAGUUGCAUCACAUGGCCGUCUCCAACAUCACACGGAAGACAUCCCAGGCAAGAGUCACCCUGGCCAGAAUAUCACUCUGGCAAUUUGCCAGUUAAAGCUUCACCUUGUCAAGAGUAGUUGGGCAGAUCUACAAUCAACUGUCUCCAGAAGAUACAAAAUGCUACUCUGGUUCCUAUACACCAUUAGAUGGGAGGAUAAGGUAGAUGAGAAGCUGCCCUGAAAAGUGUUGCUCCUGGCAUUGAACUCAAGACUACAAGAAAUGGCAACCCAGAUGUGGACAAGAAUUGGAGAGGAGCACUGGAAACACUUCAGUGCCCUUUGGAGAUCACACAACGCUGCACCACCAAACCACCACACCUGAUUCCAAAGGAGAUUCCUCUCCCACGAUAGGGAUGUUAUAUGGCAGGACAACCACAAGAAGCAGCUUUUUAUGCAAAGUCUGUAAGAUGGGGAUUUGGUUAGUGUCAUUUAGAAAUGCAUAAUUUUCUUUUUGUUUGAUGUGCAACAAUUUGUGUGUAUCCCAGUGUGAUGGUCAAGAGAAUUAGUACUAGGGAGACAGAACAACUAUAGUCAAGAUGUACAAGGAAAGCAUUCUAGUUAAGCAGAAGUCAGCUCAGACAGUUAUGAGCAUGCAUAUUUCUCAGGAAGUGGAAAAGCAGUGUGAAGAGAGUGUAGGACCUGCAUGUGCCCCAUCUCUGGCCUGGCAGGCCUCAAAUAUCCACAAGGAUUAAAAAAUGGAUUGCACUGCCUUGCCUUCCACUAUCAUAAUCUCUGUAAUCCAUGUGGAAUAUAUAUCAUUUAGGUCCAUCAGGCUGGAGACAGGGUGCAGGUAGGUUCUGUGCUCCCUCCAAGAAAUUGCUUCACCUUCUGGCAAACAUACAUACUCAUGUCCUAGAUGAUAUCUGAUUGAUUGGAAUGAUUACCUUCUCCACAAGGCAAUCACAGCCAUUAUGCUGCCCCUAGUACUAAACCUUGCCAUCACACCAAUCAAAUGUUACACAUCAAACCAAAAUCUAAUGGUGCAGCACAAACCCUCCACCUUGCAGGCGAUACAAAGUAGCUGAAUAUGGCUAUCCUGCCACACAGCCAUUACCAAAGGUAUCAUGGCUAUCAAAAGAUCAAUGAAAAGAGAUUCUGUGCUCUAUAAGUUAACUCAUUAUUCAGUUUGCAUGCUGCCCUGUGAAGUCUUGACACUAUAUGACCAAUGUCAUUUCUUUUUGCUCUAAACGAAGGAGGCUCACAACGUCCUUCUGAAAAGGCAAGAUGUUCUGAUGCUAUUGAAACACUAAUUGGCAAGCUUUCAGACUAUCAAGGGAACUGGCAACAACAGUGUGCAAGUCAUCUCACUUGGCUGUAUAGCUGGUAUGGAGAGAACAUAUUUUUCCGUCUGGAAUGCCAUGCAGAGUCUAACUGCAUUAUUUUACUUCCUCCCACCCUCUCAGCGUCCUCAAAAUGACUACAGGCAAGGAGAAACAGAACAGUGUCUACAUUAUACAAAACUUGCCACAAUCUUCUAUUUUUUCUACUCAGAAAGAAGUUAUGCUAAGGAUAACAGACUGGUGCAGUAUUUCAAGGUGGCUGGUAAGCCUACUACAUUUGCCCCACUUCCAAAGUCUGGCAGGCCUUGCAAGGUUUUUCCUUUGAUUUCCCUUGGUUCUUUAGCAACCAGUGUGGCAAUAAGUGCAUGAGUCCUUAGAGUGGUCUUAAAGGCCCAUCCACACGAUAGAGCAAAGUUCGUCAAACACAGCCCACUAUCGGGCAAACUCCGCUGACACAACAGACUGCCUUGUCCACACAGUUAAUCUGCCCCAGUCAAGCUCGGAUAACAGCGAAAGACAGUGGUCGGCCGGGUUGUGUGCAGUACGAGAACUAUGGUGAUCACCAAAAGGGUUCGCAAGAGAAUUGCAUUAUGGAGCAUAACUGUUACUAUAUUAUGUGUGAAGAAAAAAAAGGAAGCGAGUGGAAAAAGCUAGCUCUCGUCUGUGUUGGCUUCGGAGUGUGUCUAUUUUCUUUUUUGUUAUCAACUGAGUCACACGCCGAUCUUUUCUAUUUCAUCACAUAAUUAUGGUCUUGAGGGCAGCUGCACAAUUGUUCAUGUCUUUAUAUGUGACUAGUCUCACGUUCCACAAACAUGGGUUUUGAUGAUACAGGUCUAUUAAAUUAAUAAUUGCU